GGAUGUAGCUCAGUGGCAGAGCACUUGGCUAGCAUGCCCAAGGCCCUGGGUUCAGUUCCCAGCACCA
rnacentral:tRNA from 1 species